UGGAAGAAGCUCAGUGGUAGAGCACUUGCCCAGCAUGCAUGAGGCCCUAGGUUCGAUCCCUAGCACCAG
rnacentral:tRNA from 1 species